UAUUAAAAAUUUCAUCAAUUUCUAAUGUUAAAAAUCGACAUGACUAACGAAAUAACUAAACAGGUAUGCAUGGAAUGUCACGCUACCUAUUUUGACGUAUAUAGACAAAUUUUUAAUAAUGGAAAUAGAUGAAAUUUUAACA
rfam:Gossypium hirsutum cultivar TM-1 chromosome 4, whole genome shotgun sequence